rnacentral:rRNA from 1 species
GACGAACGCUGGCGGCGUGCUUAACACAUGCAAGUCGAACGGAAAGGCCCUGCUUUUGUGGGGUGCCCGAGUGGCGAACGGGUGAGUAACACGUGAGUAACCUGCCCUUGACUUUGGGAUAACUUCAGGAAACUGGGGCUACUACCGGAUAGGAGCUCCUGCUGCAUGGUGGGGGUUGGAAAGUUUCGGCGGUUGGGGAUGGACUCGCGGCUUACCAGCUUGUUGGUUGGGUAGUGGCUUACCAAGGCUUUGACGGGUAGCCGGCAUGAGAGGGUGACCGCGCACAUUGGGACUGAGAGAGGGCCCAGACUCCAACAGUAGACAGCAGGGGGAAAUAUUGCACAGUGAGCGGGAGCGUGAUGAAGAAACGCCGCGUGCGGGAUGACGGCCUUCGGGUUGUGAACCGCAUUCGCCUGUGACGAAGCGUGAGUGACGGUAAUGGGUGAAGAAGCACCGGCUAACUACGUG